GAAGGUUCGUCCGCUCUGGGUAAGUCGGGACCUAAGGCGAGGCCGAAAGGCGUAGUCGAUGGACAACAGGUAGAGAUUCCUGUACCCGUAUAUAUGUGAAGGAAUGACGGAGAGAGGAAGCUGCAGCCAGCUGCUGGAAGAGCUGGUGCAAGCGAGAUAUCGGGAUGGCAGGCAAAUCCACCAUCCGAAACGAGAAGGCGUGAAGCGUACGGAAAGCUACGGCGAGUACGGAAGGCAGUGGAGGAACUUCCAAGAAAAGUUUCUAACGUUAAGUAUAUAUGGCCCGUACCGAAAAUGGACACACAUGGGUGAGGAGAGAAUCCUAAGGUGAGCGAGAGAACUAUAGCUAAGGAACUCUGCAAAAUGACUCCGUAACUUAGGGAGAAGGAGUGCUCAUAGAGAUAUGAGCCGCAGUGAAACGGCCCAAGCGACUGUUUACCAAAAACACAGCUCUCUGCUAAGCCGCAAGGCGAAGUAUAGGGGGUGACGCCUGCCCGGUGCUGGAAGGUUAAGGGGAGGGGUUAACGCAAGUGAAGCCCUGAACUGAAGCCCCAGUAAACGGCGGCCGUAACUAUAACGGUCCUAAGGUAGCGAAAUUCCUUGUCAGGUAAGUUCUGACCCGCACGAAAGGCGUAACGAUUUGGGCGCUGUCUCAGCUGUAGACUCGGUGAAGUCUUAGUACCUGUGAAGAUGCAGGUUACCCGCGACUAGACGGAAAGACCCCAUGAGCUUCACUGCAGGUUGAUAUUGGGAUUUGAUGCAGCAUGUACAGGAUAGGUAGGAGGCAAAGAGAUGGAUACGCCAGUAUUCAAGGAGCCGCUGUUGGGAUACUACCCCUGUUGUAUUGGAUUUCUAACCGGACGACGUAGAGCCGUUGACGGGACAGUGUCAGUCGGGCAGUUUGACUGGGGCGGUCGCCUCCCAAAGAGUAACGGAGGCGCCCAAAGAUACCCUCAGCUUGGAUGGAAACCAAGCGCAGAGUGCAAAGGCAAAAGGGUGUUUGACUGCGAGACCCACAAGUCGAGCAGGGACGAAAGUCGGGCUUAGUGAUCCGGCGGUGCUGAAUGGAAAGGCCGUCGCUCAACGGAUAAAAGCUACCCUGGGGAUAACAGGCUGAUCUCCCCCAAGAGUUCACAUCGACGGGGAGGUUUGGCACCUCGAUGUCGGCUCAUCGCAUCCUGGAGCUGAAGUCGGUUCCAAGGGUUGGGCUGUUCGCCCAUUAAAGCGGUACGCGAGCUGGGUUCAGAACGUCGUGAGACAGUUCGGUCCCUAUCUGUCGUGGGCGCAGGAAAUUUGAGAAGAGCUGUCCUCAGUACGAGAGGACCGGGAUGGACGCAUCAAUGGUGGACCAGUUGUCACGCCAGUGGCAUAGCUGGGUAGCUAAAUGCGGAGGGGAUAAACGCUGAAGGCAUCUAAGUGUGAAACCCACUUCAAGAUGAGAUUUCCCAUUGCGCAAGCAAGUAAGACCUCUUAAAGACGAUAAGGUAGAUAGGUCAGGAGUGUAAGCAUGGUGACAUGUUAAGCGGACUGAUACUAAUAGGUCGAGGGCUUGAUC
rnacentral:rRNA from 1 species